rnacentral:rRNA from 1 species
UACGAAGGGUGCAAGCGUUACUCGGAAUUACUGGGCGUAAAGCGCGCGUAGGUGGUGCGUUAAGUCUGUCGUGAAAGCCCCGGGCUCAACCUGGGAAUGGCGAUGGAUACUGGCGCGCUAGAGUGCGGUAGAGGAGAGUGGAAUUCCCGGUGUAGCAGUGAAAUGCGUAGAGAUCGGGAGGAACAUCAGUUGCGAAGGCGGCUCUCUGGACCAGCACUGACACUGAGGCACGAAAGCGUGGGGAGCAAACAGG